rnacentral:lncRNA from 1 species
AGUGGAAGCCGGAGUGACGCGUUGUGUUGAACACCAGUUUUCUGGAGCGCUGUGUGUUCUUAACAGCUGAGCAGUCUGUUUCUCCAAUCAGGUUUCAAAGCCACUUCAACUGCACUGGCCCCUGUGGGUCACUGCUGCACCGCCCUGACCCAUGUGGGUCCCUGAGGAGCGACCUGCCGGGGCCACCUGGCUGGACGAAAAAGACACACCUUGGACUUAAGCCGUGAGAAAAAAACUUCAUCAGUAAGAAGAAUGAAUAAACAGACUAGGUUGAAUCCAUACAAUGGAAUGUUAGCAGACAAUAAAAAGAAAAUGAACUAUUGAUGUCCCCUACUGCACAGCAGAAGCUCUGAAUCGUGUUCCUGAAUGAAAGAAGUCAGGUGAAAAUCAAAAUUAAGGCAGAAAUAAAAAAAUCUUUGAAAGUAAUGAAAAUGGAGAUACAACUUAACAAAGUCUCUGGGAUACAGCCAAAGCAGUGUUAAGAGGAAAGUUUAUAACGUUAAAUGCCUUCACCAAGAAGUUAAAACAAUCUCAAAUUAACAGUCUAACUUUGCACCUAGAAGAACUAGAGAAAAAGAGCAAACCAACCCCAAAGCUAGCAGAAGAAAAUAAAUAACUAAAAUUAAAGAAGAACUUAAUGAAAUUGAGAUGCAAAAAUCCAUACAAAAGAUAAAUGAAACCAAAAGUUGAUUUUCAAAAAAAUAAACAAGACUGAGAGACCACUAGCUAGAUUAACAAAGAAAAAAGAAUUUCCAAAUAAGUACUGUCAGAAAUGACAAAGAUAUUACAAUUCAUCUUCAUUUGCAGAUGAAGAUACUGCAGCUUUGUCAGCAGACUAAGUCACCUAAAUGCUCUGCCAGAAGCAGAAUUUGUACUCAGGAAUGUCCAACUGCAAAGUCCAUGUGCUUGAACAGUAUGGCGUACUGAUACAUGCAGAAAUACAAAAGAUCCUCAGAAAAUACUGUGAGUAAUUCUAUGCACACAAAUUAGAAAAUCUAGAGGAAAUGGAUAAAUUCCUGGGAACAUACAAUCUCCCAAGAUUGAAUCAGGAAGAGACUGAUACCCUGACUAGACCAAUAUCAAGCUCUGAAAUUAAACGAAUAAUAAAAAACCUACCAACGACAACAACAAAAAGCCCUGGACUAGAUGGAUUCACAGCUAAAUUCUAUCAGACAUACAAAGAACUGGUACCAAUCCUACUGAUUAAACCUCUUUAGGUUCUGCUUUUUGUAUUGUUAAAAUCUUCAUUUUUGGUUUUCUAACAGUCUCUGAUUCAAACAUUCGUUACCAAUAAACAAUCCAGGUAGCCUCACCCUGAGUGGCAGCCUGGCUGGGUGAGUUCUAAAAAUGCCCAAGACCUCCAAGACUAGGUGAGAUCUGAAGUAAUGAAAUGCCUCCAUUCACUAAAGGCCUGAAAUUGUCCUGACUGCCCCAGUCCCACGGACCAAGAAGAGCCUUUCAAGCUGUGAUCCCAAUACUUGUGGCUGCUGUGAGAAUAAGGAAAGCAGCCUAGGCCUCCAGUGGAAGGAUCAGAUGUUUGCCCUUCAUACCUCAGAGAGCCUUCAUCCAAGUAAGAUGGGUGGUGAGGAGCUGUGGAUGACAGCAUGAAGGAUGAGGACUGAUGCAGCAGCCAUAAUUAGAUUAUAGGUUUCCAUGGGAUGUGCCAUGACUGCUUACAAAUGGGGCCCAGCCAUGGAAUUGAGUUAUCAACUAAGCUGAUUCCUGAGGCACAGAUCAUCCUGUCCUCCACAACAUGAUUAAAGACUACAUGAUGCUCAGGAAGACCUCUGCAGCUGUGUGCUUGGAAGAGUGUGUUUUUCCUGCUAAAGCAUAAGAAAAAAGAGACCAGCAAUUAUCUUAGGCCUUGCAGCAUCCUUUCUGGUCCCACAAGUUUGAGAAGGCAGGUGUGUGUGUGUGUGUGCAUUUGUGUUUGUGUGUGUGCGCACGUCCACAUGCAUGCAUGAUCCUACAAUGGAAGUGAGUACGCAAAAGUUGAUUGCCUAUAUACCCUCCCCACAACCAGGUGUAUAAGAGUAUUCUUUGAGAAUGAGAAAGCAGGAAGGAGCACAUCCCACACCUUAGCAUUCAUGUAGUCAAUUAGGAACUCCUGAGCUCCCAUGACAUGCUAGACCCUGGGCUCAGCACUGGAUCUCAGACAUGUCCCAAACUGGGCGAUGGAAGUGGUGGGAAGCAACCACUCAUGGACAGCUUCCCGUGUGCCAGGAGUGUGCCAGCAUUGACAUUAUGCCGUCUCUCACUCCUGCCCUCCAUCACAUUAGUGAUUCUGCCAUGAGUGACUCGUUCCUUUGGGUUCCUGUUAAGUUCCUGUGGAGGGGUCUAGCCACAGCAGGGGAAAGAGCACCGAGGGAGCUUUUAGGAAACUCUGCUCCAGGUCAGCUGUGUGAUGCUGAAAAAAUGGCUCACCCUCUCUGGACCUGUUUCCUCUUUUGCACAAUAAGAGGGUGGUGUUCUCCAAGGUCUCCUUGAAAAUGCGACUUAUCCUUGGUCAUCACUUUGCAGAGGGCAGGUCCUGUCCCCAAGCCCACCAGAGUGGAGCUGGGAAAAGUUCCAUGGUGAAGAAAAGGCAGGGGACACAACUCUGAGAGUCAUUCCUUUGAAGAUUGAGCCCAGAGGGCUCAGUUUCUGGAUUGCAUGGGGCACUUUGUCUCUCUCUGCUGGAGCCACGCACCCCUGGUGCAGUAGUUUCUGCCCUGCCCAGACUCUGGUCCCAGAAGGUUGACAUAAUGAGGAGGGAAUGAGCUUGCCAGCUCUGCCAUGACCAGCAGGCUGCCUUGGGCAAGUGCUUCACUUCCCUGAGCCUCACUUCCUCUGCCUCAUCCCUUCUCAGAGACCACUCCUCAUUUACCAUCCUAAAGUCUGACCCGUCCUGACAACCAUUAUUCUCUCUCCAUCCCCUGGUUUUUCUCUUUAGGACAGUUACUGCAUUCUCUAUCUCUUGUUGUUUCUUAGGUGGAGGAGGUACCUGCCUCCUCCCUACCUAGAACGUGAGCCUAGUAAAGGGAUGGGCCUCACCUGUUUCAGGUUUGACCUCCAAUGCCCGUCACGUAGAAGCUCAACACCAUUUCCAAUGCCAGAAGUGACAGGACAACAGCAACAAUAGCAAUAUUUCUGUACCACUCCCCUCACUUUCCAAAGAGAAGUAAUUCCCAGCUUGGACCUUCCCUUGCUGGGAGGGGUGCCCAGGUGUGGCCUCUCUGUGACCUUGGACCCUGGCUCCGGCAUAUGCCAGCCUGGCCUUUCCCCAGGGUAGGGAGCUGGCACCCUGGGCAUUCCCCAGCCAGCAUCCAGCCUUCUUGGGCAGGGCCUUUCCACACCAUUCCUCCCAAAUCCUCACUGGCCCACCCUGGAACAAAUGCAGGCGGAAGCUCGCAUCCCCACCUCUGCUGUUUCUGCUGGGUCCCCAAAGAGCUUUCUUUAGGGAAAAAGAAAGCAGGCCAGUGCCUGCUCCUUUUAGACCCCACAGUGGGGCAUGGGGUGGGCCUUGGUUGGCCUUAAUUUUCCAUUCACCUGAGGAGUGGCUCAAUCUCACUCACUCCCAUUGCAGGUGGAUGUCAGCCAAACUGGAUGCAUAAGGUUUUUGUGAUUUAGGAGUUGCAACAGGGGAGAUAAAAUGCCUAGGAAUGUCUUCAGUUGGAAAAAAGGGGCAUGAUCCUCACAUUCUGUAACCUGAGCACUUUAUCUCCUCUCUCCCCUUCCUUCACUGAUACAAGAAAGGAGACUCCAGCACUAGUUUCCUCAGUCCUUCUGCAGGGCGGGGCUUCUCACGGCCUCAAAGUCAUGGAGAAGAGUGUGCACAGGACACCUCACUUUAAGCAAAGCCCAUAGACCGUAUUUGAGAAAAGGAGUUAAAUAAAGAGGCAGCCACCAACAAACAAGAGCCCUGUGGUCACUCAGGUCCCAUAGACUCUAGAGGUCAAAGGGCCUCCGAGCAUUUGAGAAUCAGAGAGGGCAAGUAACUUGGCUGAUAUCACAUAGCACGAAGGUGGCAGAGCCAGGAUUCUACCUGCUGGCCUCCCAGAUGUCUUUCCUGUUGGACCCUGCUUGCUGGCCACUCCUGGUGGGGGUCACUCCACCAUUAGUGUGUUCGUCAAACUGACAGUUGUGGUCCAGAUCCCUUGCCUCUGGUGUGCCCAGCACCUUAGCUGGCACCUCCCUCAGCAAACCCAGCCUUCGCCAUCCUCUCAAGCAUACUUCCCAGGGCUGUUUUGUCCAUUACGGUCCCAGAAUAUAAGGCCUUUGGGUUUUUUCAGGGCCUGUGAAAAGGUUUGAAACAUGAAAAACAUACUGGCAGUUCCAAAAUUCUCAAAUAAAACUGUAGAAAUGCCUUAGGAAUUAAAUAUGUAAUAAGAUGUGAACACUUCAUUACACACCUACAAUUAGUCACAUGCCUACGAUAUGUGAAUAAUGUCAGGUCAGCUAGUGAACUGUUAUAUAGUAAUUGCGCAUCACUUAUAUAGAUAUACACAAAGUGCACUUACUGACUUGGAUGUGUGUGUUCAUUGUUUGAAGUGGCGUGGAUGGAGGCUCCAAAAGAUAAAAGAAUGUAGGGGAGGUGACUCUUCAAAUGGCCCUCACCCACCCCUUACCCUCAGCUCACCCACCAUGAAGCUUCCCCUUCCAAGGAGGACACACCUCCUUUCCUAGAACAUUCUUCAGUGCCACAAGCUGCUCAGUCAGCCCUGAUUCUGGAGUCUCCAGUGAGCGAGGCCUGGGGUGGCCCCAGCGGGAUGAGCCACACUCCCCACAGCACUCAGCCUGGAUGUGGCACUGGCUGCACAUAGCAAGAGGCAGCUAUUGGACACCUGCUCGCCACAAGUUCUGUCUUAUCCUCCCAGCAACACCGAGUGAGGGAGGGAGUGUUAACCCACCAUUCACCAGGUUUACCAGAGACCAAGCCCAGGCUCUCCCCACUGCACACUUUUAAAAGGGUCCUUUCAGCUUCCCAUUAAAGUGGUUUGUUCCUUUGUUCCUCCUCUCCUGUUCUUCCUAAGACAUCAUCACUGAAAUUUAAGCUUAUAAAUUUAAAAUGGAGUAAAUCUAUAAGGGAAAAGCAUUAAAAAAAGAGAGAAAGAUGGCUUACUAAUGGAUGAGAGUCCAACACAUUUCUGGAAGACAGGGUUCAUGAGAGGCCUAGCACUGUGGCUCCCACCUGUAAUCCCAGCACUUUCGGAGGCUGAGGCAGGAGGAUCGCUUGAGGACAGGAAUUCAAGCCUGCAGUGAGUUACCGUCACACCACCCUACUCCAGCCUAGGCAACAAAGCGAGACCCCAUCUCUUAGAAAAGAAAAAAGAAGAUUCACAAGAGGGUGUGGCAAUAUUAGACAGGCUAAGCCCCCAGGUGUACCCAGUGUAACCACAGGGGCCCUUCGGUGGAAGGGAGAAGCAGAAGAGGUCAGAGUGAAGCCACACCUGCUGUGACAAUGGAGGGAGAAAGUGGCUGGCCAAGGAACUCCAUCAGCUUCUAGAAGCUGGAAAAGGCAAGGAAACAGUCUCCACCCGGAGCCUUAUGGGAACACAGCCGCCUCAUGGGAACACAGCUGCCCUGUGACACUGAUUUUAGCCCCGUGAGGCCCAUGCUGGACUUCUGGCCUCCAGAACUGUAAGAUUUGUGGUGCUCUAAGCAAAUCAUAAAUUUGUGGAAAUUUGUUACAGCAGCAACAGAAAAGUAGCACAGGCAGCCUACGUGCUAAUUCUCAUCUUACCUGAGGUGGGGUGUACAAUACACCCUGCGUUAGUUGGAAAGCUGAAACAAUUCUCUAAUGCUAAUACUGAAAUUGUCAGGUCGGUGUAACUGUGACAGUCCGGAAGCAAUGGAGGCUUCAGUGAGCAGGACUAGCUGCCUUUCUCACCACCACAGCUUGAUCUCUCUCACAACUUCCUCUCCACCUCCACUGACCUCUGGGUUGGUUUUCUCCUGCACGAUCUUUCCACGUGUCAGGGGCCUGGAGGCACCCUACAAGAGCUGAUUUUACAUUUCCUUCCUAGAGGUAAUCCCAGAACAAAAGAGAGCAGUUUUAUUUAUUUUUUUCAAGAGAAUUAAAUUGUUUAUUGAUUACACAUGAUAAUGGAUGAUACACAAGCUUCAUUCCCAUCUAUAAUUUAAUCUGGUACCAUUAUUCAAUUAGAUAUGUUACAUAGGAUGUGCCAACAAUUACUUUUAUAACCAAUAAUUCCAUGAUUUUGCUUGGGUAAUCCCUUUUAAUGGUGACUGAAAUCAUGACUGACCGAGUCAGUGGCUAGAAAAGGGGCUUUGCCUUUGUAACUUUUGACGACCAUGACUCCGUCGUUAAGAUUGUCAUUCAGAAAUACCAUACUGUGAAUGACCACAACUGUGAAGUUAGGAAAGCCCUGUCAAAGCAAGAGAUGGCUAGUGCUUCAUCCAGCCAAAGAGGUCGAAGUGGUUCUGGAAACUUUGGUGGUGGUCGUGGAGGUGGUUUCAGUGGGAAUGACAACUUUGGUAUUGGAGGAAACUUCAGUGGUCUUGGUGGCUUUGGUGGCAGUCGUGGUGGUGGUGGAUAUGGUGGCAGUGGGGAUGGCUGUAAUGGAUUUGGUAAUGAUGGAAGCAAUUUUGGAGGUGGUGGAAGCUACAAUGAUUUUGGCAAUUACAACAAUGAGUCUUCAAAUUUUGGACCCAUGAAGGGAGGAAAUUUUGGAGGCAGAAGCUCUGGCCCCUGUGGCAAUGGAGGCCUAUACUUUGCAAAACCAUGAAACCAAGGUGGCUAUUGGCGGUUCCAGCAGCAGCAGUAGCUAUGGCAGUGGCAGAUUUUAAUUAGGAAACAAAGCUUAGCAGGAGAGGAGAGCCAGAGAAAUGACAGGGAAUCUACAGGUUACGACAGAUUUGUGAACUCAGCCAAGCACAGUGGUGGCAGGGCCUAGCUGCUACAAAGAAGACAUGUUUUAGACAAAUACUCAUGUGUAUGGGCAAAAAAUUCGAGGACUGUAUUUGUGACUAACUGUAUAACAGGUUAUUUUAGUUUCUGUUCUGUGGAAAGUGUAAAGCAUUCCAGCUAAGGGUUUUAAUAUAGGUUUUUUUUUUUUUUGCACCCAUGCUGUUGAUUGCUAAAUGUAAUAGUCUGAUCAUGACGCUGAAUAAAUGUCUUUUGUUUUAAUGUGCUGUGUAAAGUUAGUUUACUCUGAAGCUAUCUUGGUAAAUUUCCCCAACAGUGUGAAGUUAGAAUUCCUUCAGGGUGAUGCCAAGUUCUAUUUGGAAUUUAUAUACAACCUGCUUGGGUGGAGAAGCCAUUGUCUUCAGAAACCUUUGUUGUAGUUGAACUGAUAGUUACUGUUGUGACCUGAAGAGAGCAGUUUUAGUAGUGAAAGUCCUGCAGGAUUCCUAGUGGUCAAGAUUGGGGAGCAUGCCUGUAUCCCACAGUGGCCAGGGCCCAGGACAUAUGCCUGGCCCUGUGACUGGCUGGUCAUGGGCACAGGCCCCCG